CUACAGCAGACACUGGCACAGUUCAUUCCAUGGAUGAGGGGAAUCCAUCCCCAUCCCUGCUCCGAAUCCACAGCGAUUUUUGCCUCCAAAAGCUGCACUUUUCCAAUGACACAAUCAAACUUGUCUAUUUUUGAUACAAUCUGGGGCCUGUUGGAUGGUUUUCCCAUUUUC